rnacentral:lncRNA from 1 species
GGGAAUUCACUGUGGCCCUGACUGCAGGAGAGUGGAAGUGCCAAGACACCUUCGACAGUUGUGCUCUUCAGCCAGGUGUGCUUACAAAAUGGGAAGCUCCGGGGUGCCUCAGAGACCCUCCAGGUGCUAGGGCCUCUAACCUUUAGCUAUGUGUCCCCUUUCAGGGAUGGGACAGUCUGAUGGUUAUGUUAUUUUGCAAAGACACAGAGAGCAGUCACACAACGUUCAGGGGCAGCGGCUGGGCUCCAUUUGUUCAGAUCAGCAUUUAUUUGUAGGAAGCGGUAACAUUUACAACUGGUCCUCAGGCAGGAAUAUGGAGGGCCACCUCCCGAGGCCGCCCCAGGGAGCCCAGCCCUCCUGGGGAGAAAGUAGCUUCCCCGUGCUCCAAGGACUAAGCCUCUCCUCAACCCCACCCCAACCUCGUGUCCCAGGGCCCAGGGCUUCUUGGUAGGCCUCUCUGGAAGUCAGUCCGCGGGCUCCCUGAGGAUAGGGGUUUUCCUGCAGCUGAGCUGGGUUUUUUGGGGGAGGGGGUGUGUGUCCACAGUCUUUCUCUUCUUUCAGAUUCUCGGAAUUAGAUAGUUGGCCCUGUUUGGGAGGCUGGAUGGGGUGAGACUACACUACAGCACUUUCCAGAAACAUGAGGAACAUUUACACAGGAUAGGGCUCCAUCAAGCCUGCGUGCACUCACAAAAUAAAGCAUUUCCUAAGGAACCAAGGGAGUGGGAAAGGGAGGGAGUGAGAUAGGACAAGACUCCAAAGCCACUUGGAUUCUCCAAUACAUAUGCGAGCAAAUACAGCGUCCCCCAAAUAACUCACAGAGACCAACCACACAGUCACUUCUACCUAAAAAAAAAAGAAGAAUGUCCGAAUCGCUGCAGAGUUUCUGAAUCAAGCACCCACAAAGAAAACAAUCAACAACAAAAAACCAAAACCCGCUGCCUUUUGAGCGCUGCAGGCCUGACCCGCACUGGGUCAGUCUCCUUUAGGACAUUUCUCCUUGCUCAUCUUUUUCAUUUUCAUCCUACGGUUCUGGAACCAGAUUUUGACUUGUCUCUCUGUAAGGUUCAGAAUCCUGGCCACCUCGUAGCGCCGGUCCCGGGUGAGGUACAUGUUGAAGAGGAAUUCCUUCUCCAGCUCUAGCGUCUGGUAUUUGGUGUAGGGACAGCGCUUUUUCCGGGUGGAGCGAGCGUGGAUCCAGUUCGCUGCAGGGUUGUCUAGGAAGAGGGGGGUUUGCAGACAAGGGAGCGAGGGGCGGAGGGGAGGCAGGGAGAGACGACAGGGUGGGGAAGAGAGGUCGUUAAAUUAAUUUCACCAAGGAUGGACGCUUUUCACAACUUGGGGGAAUUAUCAUAAAAAACCUUAAUGCCCGCGCUCUGUUUACCGUACAAACCGCGCGCCCAAGGUAGGUGGUUAUGGGAAGCUUUUUUAUGGAUACGUGUUGCUCGCCUAGGCUUGGGUAGG